rnacentral:lncRNA from 1 species
UAUCUUUCGCCGAAGCUCCCUGAAUGUCCGUUUGAGCUCAAACUUGACAGUCAUGUUCGGUUUUACGUACUGAGUAAGAAUAUAUUUUAAGUUUUCAGUUUUGACCCUAUUUGGUCACCGAAAACUGUACCGAACUGUAAUCUUUAUCAGAUAACUGUCGGAUUUUAUUUCUCACUCUACGGGUGUCAGAAUAAUAUGAAACUUUAAAUCUACCCUCAUAAAAAUAUUUUCGACUUAUCCUCCAAUUUUCAUAAUUUUCUGAGACUGUGCAUUUUCUGCUAAUUUAUCUGUCCUGUUUUCAACAGAAAAUUCUAGAUUUUCUGUUUUCAUUCUGAUUUCCGCACAAGUUACUUCUGACUUAUGUUUUACUUCUUCAAAUCCAAUAAAAAUAAUAUCUCACACUAUUUUUAUUUAUUUUUAUUUUUAUACCAAAAUCUGGUAUAUUACAUCCCCUCCCUAUCGG